rnacentral:rRNA from 1 species
CCGGAGAAUGAAGAGUGGCGAACGGGUGAGUAACACGUGGGUAACCUGCCCAUCAGAAGGGGAUAACACUUGGAAACAGGUGCUAAUACCGUAUAACAAUCGAAACCGCAUGGUUUUGAUUUGAAAGGCGCUUUCGGGUGUCGCUGAUGGAUGGACCCGCGGUGCAUUAGCUAGUUGGUGAGGUAACGGCUCACCAAGGCCACGAUGCAUAGCCGACCUGAGAGGGUGAUCGGCCACAUUGGGACUGAGACACGGCCCAAACUCCUACGGGAGGCAGCAGUAGGGAAUCUUCGGCAAUGGACGAAAGUCUGACCGAGCAACGCCGCGUGAGUGAAGAAGGUUUUCGGAUCGUAAAACUCUGUUGUUAGAGAAGAACAAGGAUGAGAGUAACUGUUCAUCCCUUGACGGUAUCUAACCAGAAAGCCACGGCUAACUACGUGCCAGCAGCCGCGGUAAUACGUAGGUGGCAAGCGUUGUCCGGAUUUAUUGGGCGUAAAGCGAGCGCAGGCGGUUUCUUAAGUCUGAUGUGAAAGCCCCCGGCUCAACCGGGGAGGGUCAUUGGAAACUGGGAGACUUGAGUGCAGAAGAGGAGAGUGGAAUUCCAUGUGUAGCGGUGAAAUGCGUAGAUAUAUGGAGGAACACCAGUGGCGAAGGCGGCUCUCUGGUCUGUAACUGACGCUGAGGCUCGAAAGCGUGGGGAGCAAACAGGAUUAGAUACCCUGGUAGUCCACGCCGUAAACGAUGAGUGCUAAGUGUUGGAGGGUUUCCGCCCUUCAGUGCUGCAGCUAACGCAUUAAGCACUCCGCCUGGGGAGUACGACCGCAAGGUUGAAACUCAAAGGAAUUGACGGGGGCCCGCACAAGCGGUGGAGCAUGUGGUUUAAUUCGAAGCAACGCGAAGAACCUUACCAGGUCUUGACAUCCUUUGACCACUCUAGAGAUAGAGCUUCCCCUUCGGGGGCAAAGUGACAGGUGGUGCAUGGUUGUCGUCAGCUCGUGUCGUGAGAUGUUGGGUUAAGUCCCGCAACGAGCGCAACCCUUAUUGUUAGUUGCCAUCAUUCAGUUGGGCACUCUAGCAAGACUGCCGGUGACAAACCGGAGGAAGGUGGGGAUGACGUCAAAUCAUCAUGCCCCUUAUGACCUGGGCUACACACGUGCUACAAUGGGAAGUACAACGAGUUGCGAAGUCGCGAGGCUAAGCUAAUCUCUUAAAGCUUCUCUCAGUUCGGAUUGCAGGCUGCAACUCGCCUGCAUGAAGCCGGAAUCGCU